CCGAUGCCCAUCCUUGCUCAUAGGUAAGUGAAGCGAGAGCAUCAUCGACUACGAAGAUCGUCUUCGAUUUUAAUCCAAUACGCCUACUCGUCCAUAGGCAAGUUAAGAGAGAGCAUCAUCAAUGAUGAAGGUCAUAUCCAACCUUAGUCCGAUGCCCCCGUUGAGAGAGAGCAUCGUCGAUGAUGAAGGUUGUCUCUACCCUCAAUCUGAUGCCCCCACUUAUCCAUAGGCAAGUUGAGAGAGAGCAUCAUCGACGAUGAAAGUCGUCUUUGAUUUUAGCCCAAUGCCCCCCUCAUUAGUAGGCAAGUCGAGAAAGUGCAUCAUCGACACAAAACGAUGUCAUCCUAGGACUACACAUGAGUAAGCCGCCCAUGGAUAAAUGAGUUGAGGACCUUCCAGAUGUCAGGCAAGGCAGAAUGACAGCAACUAUGUG
rnacentral:lncRNA from 1 species